rnacentral:rRNA from 1 species
CGCUUCUUUCCUCCCGAGUGCUUGCACUCAAUUGGAAAGAGGAGUGGCGGACGGGUGAGUAACACGUGGGUAACCUACCCAUCAGAGGGGGAUAACACUUGGAAACAGGUGCUAAUACCGCAUAACAGUUUAUGCCGCAUGGCAUAAGAGUGAAAGGCGCUUUCGGGUGUCGCUGAUGGAUGGACCCGCGGUGCAUUAGCUAGUUGGUGAGGUAACGGCUCACCAAGGCCACGAUGCAUAGCCGACCUGAGAGGGUGAUCGGCCACACUGGGACUGAGACACGGCCCAGACUCCUACGGGAGGCAGCAGUAGGGAAUCUUCGGCAAUGGACGAAAGUCUGACCGAGCAACGCCGCGUGAGUGAAGAAGGUUUUCGGAUCGUAAAACUCUGUUGUUAGAGAAGAACAAGGACGUUAGUAACUGAACGUCCCCUGACGGUAUCUAACCAGAAAGCCACGGCUAACUACGUGCCAGCAGCCGCGGUAAUACGUAGGUGGCAAGCGUUGUCCGGAUUUAUUGGGCGUAAAGCGAGCGCAGGCGGUUUCUUAAGUCUGAUGUGAAAGCCCCC